GACUUUUUCCCUCCCAAAAGGCAGCAAAAAGGUUUUUGCGAAACUAUGAACAUAUCCGCUUAUGGUUUUCUUCACAUAAAUAUCCAGUUAUAAUUUUGUGCAUGCUUCGGCCAAAUGGAACAAAUAACUCCACAAUAAACUCCAAAAAUGAGCCAACAAAGAGGAACCUUUAUUUUCUGUCCUUUUUCAUAGAUGAAAACUCAUGGAGUACUAAAUGAAUCAUGUCUCGUUGCCC
rnacentral:lncRNA from 1 species